AUACGGAGGGUGCGAGCGUUAAUCGGAAUUACUGGGCGUAAAGCGCGCGUAGGCGGUUCGAUAAGUCUGAUGUGAAAGCCCUGGGCUUAACCUGGGAAUGGCAUUGGAUACUGUUGAACUAGAGUGCGGGAGAGGAGAGUGGAAUUCUCGGUGUAGCGGUGAAAUGCGUAGAUAUCAGGAGGAACACCGGUGGCGAAGGCGACUUCCUGGACCAAUACUGACGCUGAGGCGCGAAGGCGUGGGGAGCAAACAGGAUUAGAAACCCCGGUAGUCC
rnacentral:rRNA from 1 species